UAGUCGUUGUUGGUUUUCUCAAGACUAGUAGUACACCAUAGCCAUAUCCUCAAAAAUUAAGUUUAGCUUACCAAUAUCAACACAUAUAUCUCAGCUUUCUUCCUUAGCAUUUUCUCCUUAGCUUUCAUCACAUUCAGUUUAUUCCUUACUGUUUGGAAUAAUAUUCGAGUUUUGAUCAUCCAAUUCGAAGAACCAAAGGAUCACAAACAGUCAACACAGGAAGGAUCACUUUUGUUUAUAUUUCCUCGUUACUUUCGUGAUGGUCUCAGUAUUCUUUGCUUCUUUACUCGGUAUUGGUUUUCUUCAAACUAGUAGCAUGCCAUCCAUAUCCUUAAAUCAUGUUUAGCAUGCCAACAAAUCUCAGCUUUCUUCCUUAAUUAACAUUUGCUCUUUUCUCACAUUCAGUUUAAUGCUUACCAUUUGGAAUAAGCUCUUUAACAAAACAUUGACAAAAUGCAUUUCAUCCAAUGAUAAGCUUUAAAAGACAGCAGCUUCUAAACGAGAGGAAUAUCAGAAAGGGAAAAAUGUAAGGGUGAUCCGGACAAGCGCAUAUAAAGUAAAGAGGAGAGAAAUAGAACAAUGGAGUAGUUGAUGGUGAAGAAUAAGAGCUUUGCACUUCCUUAAUUUGUGUCACAACUAAGAGAUGUAGUUGUACCUAGUACAACAAAAUCAAGCUCAAAGCAUGGAUGCUGUGUCGUCCGCACUAAUAGAGCCGGUAACUAAUUCUGUGUUGGAUCUGGUUAAAAAGCAUGUGGAUUACAUCCGUUACAGGCAAAACGUUGGUGAACUAUACGAGUGUGUUGAACAGCUUGAACUUGAUAAAGAAAGGGUAGAUCAUCAAUGUAAUAGAGCUGUCAAAAAUGGACACAACAUUCAUGUUAAGGCUAGAGAAUGGUCACGGAAAGUGGGUGAAUUUAAGACAGAAGUGGAGAACUAUAAGAAUGAUGAAGGCCACAGAAAGGCAGGGUUAACCAAUUGUUUAUUUCCUUACUUUAGGUAUAGACUAGGCAGACUAGCAAAGAAGAAGGCAGUGGAGGGUAAAAAGCUAAUCGAUGGUUGCCCCAAGCCUGAUGAAAUUGCUUUUCGGGGAAACGUAACAUUUAAUGAUGCCAUUUUGUCUAAUACUGAUCUUAUGGAAUUUGAUUCUAGAAAAUCCAUAAUGGAAGACAUAAUGGAAAAACUUGAAGAUCCCACUGUGAAAAUGAUUGGAGUGCAUGGCCCAGGUGGGGUGGGUAAGAGCACUUUAAUCAAAGCAAUUGCUGGCAGUGCUCAAGUCAAGAAACUGUUUAAUGUGGUGGCUUUUUCAGAAAUAACAGCCAAUCCCAAUGUAAAAAAAAUCCAGGAAGAUAUUGCUUACGUGUUAGGAUUGACAUUGGAAGGGGAAGGUGAGAAUGUGAGAGCUGAUUCUCUAAGGAGGAGGCUAAAGCAAGAGAAGGAGAAUACCCUUAUAAUCUUGGAUGACCUUUGGGACAGAUUAGACUUGAAUAAGUUAGGCAUUCCACUUGAUGAUGACAUGAAUGGUCUAAAAAUGAAGGGGGCUAGAAAACCAGAUGAAAUGUCCGGCACUAAUAAAGAAAAAUCUCAUGAUGAUUAUAAGGGGUGCAAAAUUCUGCUAACUUCAAGGGAUACAACUGUAUUGUCUGAGAAGAUGGCUGUUAAGUCAAUUUUCGGGGUAAAGGAAUUAGAAGAAGCGGAAGCUAUGAGGUUGUUAAAGAAGGUGACUGGAAUACCUGAUCAAAUGUCCCACUCUAAACAAGAAAUUGUUAGGAAGUACUGUGCAGGGAUACCCAUGGCUAUUGUUACAGUUGGAAGGGCAUUAAGAAACAAGAGCGAGUCAGUGUGGGAAGCUACGCUAGAUAAACUCAAAAGGCAAGAACUGGUGGGAGCACAAUACUCUAUGGAGAUUUCAGUAAAAAUGAGUUACGACCAUCUAGAAAAUGAGGAGCUCAAGUCCAUUUUCUUACUUUGUGCUCAAAUGGGUCAUCAACCCCUAAUUAUGGACUUGGUGAAGUAUUGCUUUGGUUUGGGUAUACUUGAAGGGGUCUACUCGCUUAGGGAAGCUCGGGACAAAAUAAAUAUAUGGAUUCAAAAGCUUAAACACUCGGGUUUGGUGAUGUUGGACGAAAGUUCCAGCAUUCAUUUCAAUAUGCAUGACAUGGUUCGAGAUGCUGCUUUAUCUAUAGCACACAAGGAGAAAAAUGUUUUUACUUUGAGAAAUGGCAAACUUGAUGAUUGGCCUGAACUCGAGAGGUGCACUUCUAUUUCUAUAUGCAACAGUGAUAUCAUUGAUGAGCUUCCUAAUGUUAUAAAUUGUCCUCAACUUAAAUUUUUCCAAAUUAACAGCGAUGAUCCAUCUGUAAAAAUACCUGAGAGUUUUUUUAAUGAAAUGAAAAAACUCAGAGUAUUAAUAUUGACUGGUAUUCAUCUAGAAAGCUUACCACCUUCAAUCCAAUGCCUAUCAAACCUCAGAUUACUUUGUUUGGAGCGAUGCAUUUUAGAUGGCAACUUAUCCUUCAUAGGAGAGCUGAAAAAAUUAAGAAUUCUCAGUUUUUCUGGAUCUCAACUUAAAAAAUUGCCAGCUGAGUUAUGUUGCUUAGAUAAGUUGCAACUACUUGACAUCAGCAAUUGUUCCAGAGUGGAGAUGAUUCCACGUAAUCUUAUAUCGAGGCUAAUUUCUUUAGAAGAGUUGUAUAUUAGAAAGAGCUUGAUCAAAAAAUUGACAGAAGGAGAGACAAACCGAAGUCGAUUUUCAUUUCUUCCUGAGCUAAAGCAUUUGCAUCAAUUGAAAGUGGUGGACUUAUGCAUCCCAUGUGCUGAAGUUUUGCCGAAGGACUUGUUCUUUGACAAGUUAAAUGAUUACAAGAUCGUGAUUGGAGGCUUUGAGACGCUUUUAGUUGGAGAUUUCAGGAUGCCUAAUAAGUACGAAGCAUUCAGAUCUUUGGCGUUGCAGCUGAAGGACAGAACUGACAAUAUUCAUUCCCAGACAGGGAUGAAAUUAUUGUUUAAAAGAGUUGAAAAUUUGUUGUUGGGAGAGCUAAGUGGUGUUCAAAAUGUCAUUGAUGAGUUGAAUUUGGAUGGAUUUCCCUGUCUGAAACACUUAUCUAUCACAAAUAACGAUGGCAUCAAAUAUAUCAACUCAAUGGAUUUGUCUCAUUCUCGAGAUGUUUUUCCCAAUUUGGAAUCUCUAUGUCUCAACAAACUGACGAACAUAGAAAUGAUAUGUCGCAGUCCAGUUACAGUUGACUCAUUUGCCAAAUUAAAAACCAUCAAGGUCAUACGGUGUACCUGUUUGAAGAAUCUCUUCUCCUUUUACAAGGAUAAAUUUGUUUCUAGUCUCGAAACAAUUGAUGUUUCUGAUUGUGGUUCUUUAAAGGAGAUCUUUGAAAUACUAGUAAAUCCUGACAAGGUUGAGCUUCUUAAGUUGCACUCUUUGACACUGAAGCGGUUGCCAUCAUUUACUAGUUUUUAUAAUUACAGAGUAGAGGGACCUUCUGAAUCUCAACUGACAGAAGCACAAACAGUAGAGAGGGAUGAGAAAGAAAUUACUAUUGCACAAGAUGAACGUAGUGGCAUGGCUGCCCCUCUCUUUGGUGAACUGGUUGAAAUUCCAAACUUAGAGAGCUUGAAUUUAUCCUCAGUCAGAAUCCAUAAGAUAUGGAGUGACCAACCACUGUCAAGUUUCUGCUUUCAAAGCUUAGUAAAAUUAGUUGUGGAAGGUUGUGAUAAUUUGAGAUAUUUAUGUUCAUUGUCUGUGGCUAGUGGUUUGAAGAAACUGAAAGGACUCUUCGUAAGUAAAUGUCGGUUGAUGGAGAAGAUUUUUGAGACUGAAGGAAAUAGUGCAGACAAAAAGGUCUGCGUCUUUCCUAAGUUGGAAGAAAUCGACCUCAGUGAAAUGAAUAUGUUAACAGACAUAUGGCAUGCUGAAGUGAUGAGUGCAGAUUCCUUUUCUAGUCUCAUUUCUGUGCACAUAUAUGGGUGCAAAAAAAUAGAUAAGAUUUUUCCGAGUCACAUGGAAGGAUGGUUUGCAAGUUUGAACAGCUUGAAGGUUUAUGAUUGUGAGUCAGUAGAAGUGAUUUUUGAAAUCAAAGAUUCUCAGCAAGUAGAUGUAUCUUCUGCGAUAGACACAAAUUUGCAGCUUAUUGAUGUAUGGAGACUCCCAAACUUGAAGCUAGUGUGGAGCACAGAUCCAGGAGGAAUUCUUAACUUCAAAAGACUGCGGAGUAUAGAGGUUGAUAACUGUGAUAAACUGAGGAAUGUCUUUCCAGCAUCUGUGGCCAAAGAUGUUCGAAAGCUUGAAUCCAUGUCGGUGAUGAGCUGUGAGGGAAUGCUAGAGAUCGUUGAAGAUGAAUCAGAAACAAACAAUGAAACAUUAAUGUUUCCUGAACUAACCAACAUGAAAUUAUAUAGCCUAUCAAACCUCAAGCGUUUCUACAAGGGGAAGCAUUUUAUAGAAUGUCCAAGAUUGAAGAAGUUGACAAUGGGCCGUUGUGAGAAGCUUAAAACAUUCCCAAUAGAAACCAGUGAAACCACAAACGAAGAAGUAAAACCAGUUUUCUCAGCUGAAAAGGUAAUCCCCAACUUGGAGUAUAUGGAUAUUUACUUUGACGAAGCGCAGAAUUGGUUAUCAACCAACACCAUGAAGUACCGAAUGCACUCUUUAAAAGAGCUUAGCGUGAAUUCAGUAAAAAGUGGUGAACUUCUCCGUCUGAUUCUGUACAGUAUGCCAAAUCUAGAAAAGUUACAAUUGGAUCACUUUGACUCUCAACAUUUGCUUAAAUUGACAUCAGUGCCAUGUUUGGGAACCGUAUUACAGCUGAAGGAAUUGGUUUUGUGGAGUUCAAAGAUAAGGGAUUUAGGAUUUGAACGAGAGCCAGUUCUACAGAGACUAGAGCUUUUGAGCUUAUAUGAUUGCAACAAAUUGAGAAAUUUGGCUCCUCGCUCGGUAUCAUUGGCUUACUUGACAAAUUUGAAAGUAAGUUAUUGUAAUGGAUUAAAUUUUUUAAUGGCAUCCUCGACGGCCCGAAGCUUGGUUCAACUUAAGAGCAUGAAGGUUAUUUAUUGUGAUAAUGUAAAGGAAAUAGUAACCAUUGAUGAAAAUAAAGAAGGCAGAGUGAUGGAAAUUGAAUUCAGCAAAUUGAUUACUAUAGAACUUCAAGGGCUAAGAAACCUCACAAGUUUUUGCAGUUACAAGAACUGUGAAUUUAAAUUCCCGUCAUUGGAAAUGUUGAUAGUGAAUAGAUGCCCCAUGAUGGAAACAUUAACCGAGAAUCGCACAACAGCUCCAAAGUUACAAAAUAUAUUUGCUUUUGAAGGAGAAAAGGAAUCGAGAUGGCAGUGGGAAGGUGACUUGAAUGCCACCAUACAAAAAGAUUUUAAAAAUAAGCUUUUGGAGUCUGCACGAAGUGGAUCAUCUAUUAGGCUCAGCAAUAGCCCAGUACAAAAGAUAUGGCAUGGCUCACUGUCGAUCCCAGACUCGUGCUUCAGUAACUUGGGCACCUUGAUUGUUGGCGGCUGCCAAUUUUUAUCCGAUGCAGUGCUACCCUUCAAUUUACUUCCUUUAUUACCUAAAUUGGAAGAAUUGGAAGUUGAAAACUGUGAAUAUGUGAAAACCAUAUUUGAUGUGAAGUAUAUAACCCAAGACAGAAAAAUGACAACUAUGGGAGCAACCAGCAUCCCCCUCCCUUUUCCCCUUAAGAAAUUGACUUUAUCGGAGCUGCCAAAUCUGGAGAAUGUUUGGAAUGAACAUCCUCAUAGAAUUCCAAGGAUGCAACUUUUACAAGAAGUAUAUGUUGACAAUUGUAAACGCCUUGCUAGUGUGUUUCCCACAUCGGUAGCCAAAGAUCUUCUGAAACUUGAAAAUCUAGUUGUGAAACACUGUGAGGGGUUGAUGGCAAUUGUUGCAGAGCAUAAUGCAGAUCCAAAAGGAACAAAUCUAGAGCUAACGUUCCCCAGUGUGAAGUCAUUGACGCUAUGGGAUUUGCCGAAGUUCAACUAUAAUGGUAUAUAUUGCAUUCAUGAUGCAACAAAAAUAAUUGAGCUUACACCCAACUUACAACAUCUAACACUCGGUCAAAACGAACUCAAGAUGAUUUUGCAUGGAGAAAUUCAGGGGAACCAUUUAAACAAGUUAAAAGUUCUAACUCUGUGCUUUCAUGUUGAGUCCGAUGUAUUUCCACAUGGAUUUCUACAACUGGUGCCUAAUAUAGAGGAGCUUGUGGUGUGUGAUGGAUCCUUCAAGGAGAUUUUCUGCCUUCAAAGUCCUAAUGUGGAUGAUACUACUCUCCUAUCACAACUGAAAGUGUUACGCUUGGAGUCCCUUCCAGAGCUCGUUUCCAUUGGGUCACUAAAUUUGGUACCAUGCACAAUGUCUUUCUCCAAUCUGACAAAGUUGGAAGUAAAAAGUUGCAAUAGCCUGCUAUGUUUGUUCACAUCCUCAACAGCCAAAAAUUUAGCUCAACUCCAAAAUAUGGUGAUAGAAUUUUGUGAAUCAAUUAAAGAGAUAGUGUCUAAGGAGGGGGAUGAAUCACAUGAGGAUGAGAUAACAUUUCCGCAGCUCAAUUGUUUGGUACUUGGAAAUUUACCAGAUCUCAGAAGCUUCUACGAAGGGAGUUUAAGUUUCCCAUCUUUGGAGGAAUUGUCAGUAAUCAAAUGCCACGGGAUGGAAACUUUAUGUCCGGGUACCCUAAAAGCAGACAAGUUGCUAGGAGUUCAAUUAAAGAGGUACUCAGAUGUCAUGCCAUUGGAAAUUGAUCUCAAGUCUACCAUACGGAAGGCAUUUCUAGCAAAGAUUUCAAAGUCUGCGCGCCGGGUAUCAGAUCUUAGACUCAGAGAUAACCCACUGCAAAAGAUAUGGCAAGGCUCACUAACAAUCCCAGAUUUGUGCUUCUGUAACUUGCACUCCUUGAUUGUGGACGGCUGCCAAUUUUUAUCAGAUGCAGUACUACCUUUCAAUUUACUUCCUUUCUUAACUGAAUUGGAAACAUUGGAAGUUCGAGACUGCGAUUCUGUGAAAACCAUAUUUGAUGUGAAUUGUACAAGACAAGACAGAAUAAUGACAACUAUGGGACCAACCAUCUUCCCCCUCCCUUUUCCUCUCAAGAAAUUGGUUUUACAGCGGCUGCCAAAUCUGGAGAAAGUUUGGAAUGACGACCCUCAUAGAAUUCUCAGGAUGCAACUGCUACAGCAAGUACAUGUUGAGAAAUGUGAAAACCUUACUAGUGUGUUUCCUGCAACAGUAGCCAAAGAUAUUGUGAAACUUGAAAAUCUAGUUGUGCAACACUGUGAGGGAUUGAUGGCUAUUGUUGCAGAGGAUAAUGCAGAUCCAAACGGAACAAAUCUUGAGCUUACAUUCCUCUGUGUGACGUCACUGACGAUAUGUGAUUUGCCAGAGUUAAAGUGUUUUUUGCAGUGUGACAUGUUGAAGACAGUUUCACAUGUAGAACCAAAUACUAAAAAUCAGAUCCGUAUUGAAAAGCUUACACCCAAUUUGCAGCACCUGACACUCGGUGAAAAUGAACUGAAGAUGAUUCCGCAUGGAGAAUUUCCAGGAAACGUCUUGCACAAUUUAAAAGCUCUUAUUUUGCUGAACUUCAGCGUUGAGUCCUAUGAAUUUGCAUAUGGAUUUCUACAACAGGUGCCCAAUAUUGAGAAGCUUGAGGUGUCUUGUAGUUCCUUCAAGGAGAUUUUCUGCUUUCAAAGUCCUAAUGUGGAUGAUACUGCACUCCUAUCACAGCUGAAAUUAUUAAGCUUGGAGUCCCUUUCAGAGCUUGAAACCAUAGGUUUUGAGAACACUUUGAUUGAGCCUUUUCUCAGAAAUCUAGAAACCUUGGAUGUAAGCAGUUGUUCAGUUUUAAGAAACUUGGCACCAUCCCCCAUAUGUUUCCCCAAUCUGAUGUGUUUGUUUGUAUUUGAGUGCCAUGGGUUGGAAAACUUGUUCACAUCCUCAACAGCCAAAAGUUUGUCUCGGCUCAAAAUAAUGGAAAUAAGAAGCUGUGAAUCAAUUAAAGAGAUAGUGUCUAAGGAGGGGGAUGGAUCAAAUGAAGACGAGAUAAUAUUUCGGCAGCUUCUUUAUUUGAAUCUUGAAUCUUUACCAAAUCUCAAAAGCUUCUAUACAGGGAGAUUGAGUUUCCCAUCCUUGCUGCAAUUGUCAGUAAUCAAUUGCCACUGUUUGGAAACUUUAUCUGCUGGUACCAUAGAUGCAGAUAAGUUGUAUGGAAUUAAGUUUCAGAAGAAAUCAGAAGCUAUCCCAUUGGAUAUUGAUCUCAAUUCUACCAUUCGGAAUGCAUUUCAGGCAACGGUUCCAGAUGCUUCAAGUGCCCCCUGACCAUUUGGGUUCGACAGGAAAUGUGAUGAAGAUUAGGAGGUUAAAGUGUUCUUCAAUACCUGUUGAUUAAGUCUGAUGUUUUAUCUAGGUUGAGUCCGCGUCCGAACUCUAAUAUUGCAGUAAGAAGAGAUUGACGGCAGAACUGAUGCAGAUGAACAAAGUAGCCUGGGUUUCACUAAGUUUGUUAAUUUGUGUGUUGAAAAAAACAAUAAGAGUUAUGCAUGCGUGUGGUUCUACAUAGUCGAUGGUGAAAUACAUUGUUCUAUUCUAUAUAUUAUGUAAUGUGUGAUUUUAAGUGAUAAAAGGAGUUGAAGACCAAAGAUGAAGUAUUGACUGUACUGUUUGUAUUUUGUAAGUUAUAUUUGUUUUGUUUGUUUAUCCUUAAUUUUACCUAUGUUUCAUGCUUCAA